UUGGAGGGCAAGUCUGGUGCCAGCAGCCGCGGUAAUUCCAGCUCCAAUAGCGUAUAUUAAAGUUGUUGCAGUUAAAAAGCUCGUAGUUGAAUUUCGGGAUCAAUAUGUUGGUCGUGCCUCGGUACGUACUAGCUUAUUGGUUUCUCCUUUCUGAAGAACCAUGAUGUCAUUUAUUUGGUGUCGUGGGGAAUCAGGACUGUUACUUUGAAAAAAUUAGAGUGUUUAAAGCAGGCUCACGCUUGAAUACAUUAGCAUGGAAUAAUGAAAUAGGACGUUUGAUUCUAUUUUGUUGGUUUCUAGGAUCGACGUAAUGAUUAAUAGGGAUAGUUGGGGGCAUUAGUAUUCAAUUGUCAGAGGUGAAAUUCUUGGAUUUAUUGAAGACUAACUACUGCGAAAGCAUUUGCCAAGGAUGUUUUCAUUAAUCAAGAACGAAAGUUAGGGGAUCGAAGACGAUCAGAUACCGUCGUAGUCUUAACCAUAAACUAUGCCGACUAGGGAUCGGAUGAUGUUAAUUUUUUAAUGACUCAUUCGGCGCCUUACGGGAAAC
rnacentral:rRNA from 1 species